rnacentral:rRNA from 1 species
GACGAACGCUGGCGGCGUGCUUAACACAUGCAAGUCGAACGGAAAGGCCCUGCUUUUGUGGGGUGCUCGAGUGGCGAACGGGUGAGUAACACGUGAGUAACCUGCCCUUGACUUUGGGAUAACUUCAGGAAACUGGGGCUAAUACCGGAUAGGAGCUCCUGCUGCAUGGUGGGGGUUGGAAAGUUUCGGCGGUUGGGGAUGGACUCGCGGCUUAUCAGCUUGUUGGUGGGGUAGUGGCUUACCAAGGCUUUGACGGGUAGCCGGCCUGAGAGGGUGACCGGCCACCUUGGGACUGAGCUACGGCCCAGACUCCUACGGGAGGCAGCAGUGGGGAAUAUUGCACAAUGGGCGGAAGCCUGAUGCAGCAACGCCGCGUGCGGGAUGACGGCCUUCGGGUUGUAAACCGCUUUCGCCUGUGACGAAGCGUGAGUGACGGUAAUGGGUAAAGAAGCACCGGCUAACUACGUG